AUUCAAAUAGCUUAAAUAAGAGUAUAAUAUUGAAGAUAUUAUGGUGGUUAAAAAUCUUUGAAUA
rnacentral:tRNA from 1 species